rnacentral:rRNA from 1 species
CCUACGGGGGGCAGCAGUAGGGAAUAUUGCGCAAUGGGGGAAACCCUGACGCAGCGACGCCGCGUGAGUGAUGAAGGCCUUCGGGUCGUAAAGCUCUGUCGUAUGGUACAAGGUACCAUGCAAGAAAGGAUCGGCUAACUUCGUGCCAGCAGCCGCGGUAAGACGAGGGAUCCUAGCGUUGUUCGGAAUUAUUGGGCGUAAAGCGGGUGUAGGCGGACUUAUAAGUCAGGUGUGAAAUCCCAGGGCUCAACCCUGGAAGUGCACUUGAUACUGUAAGUCUUGAAUGUGGUAGAGGUGGAAUUCCUGGUGUAGUGGUGAAAUACGUAGAUAUCAGGAGGAACACCGGAGGCGAAGGCGGGUAACUGGGCCAAAUGACGCUGAGACCCGAAAGCGUGGGGAUCAAACAGGAUUAGAUACCCUUGUAGUC